ACACGGAGGGUGCAAGCGUUAAUCGGAAUUACUGGGCGUAAAGCGUACGUAGGCGGUUAGUUAAGUUAGAUGUGAAAGCCCCGGGCUUAACCUGGGAACUGCAUUUAAAACUGGCUAACUAGAGUUAAGUAGAGGGGAGUGGAAUUUCAGGUGUAGCGGUGAAAUGCGUAGAGAUCUGAAGGAACACCAGUGGCGAAGGCGACUCCCUGGACUUGAACUGACGCUGAGGUACGAAAGCGUGGGUAGCAAACGGGAUUAGAAACCCUAGUAGUCC
rnacentral:rRNA from 1 species